UACAGCGGGGGCAAGCGUUCUUCGGAAUUAUUGGGCGUAAAGGGCGCGUAGGCGGCUUGGCAAGUGGAAGGUGAAAUCCCUCGGCUUAACCGAGGAACUGCCCUCCAAACUGCUUCGCUUGAGACCGGGAGAGGUGAGUGGAAUUCCCAGUGUAGCGGUGAAAUGCGUAGAUAUUGGGAGGAACACCAGUGGCGAAGGCGGCUCACUGGACCGGUACUGACGCUGAUGCGCGAAAGCGUGGGGAGCAAACGGG
rnacentral:rRNA from 1 species